rnacentral:rRNA from 1 species
UAGCCGUAAACGAUACUCGCUAGGUGUCGGCCACGGUGCGACCGUUGUCGGUGCCGUAGGGAAGCCGUGAAGCGAGCCACCUGGGAAGUACGGCCGCAAGGCUGAAACUUAAAGGAAUUGGCGGGGGAGCACAACAACGGGUGGAGCUUGCGGUUUAAUUGGAUUCAACGCCGGAAAUCUUACCGGGACCGGACAGCAACAUGAAGGCCAGGCUGAAGACUUUGCCGGAUUAGCUGAGAGGAGGUGCAUGGCGUAGUCGUGU